rnacentral:rRNA from 1 species
CGCUAGCUACAGGCUUAACACAUGCAAGUCGAGGGGCAGCAUGGUCUUAGCUUGCUAAGGCCGAUGGCGACCGGCGCACGGGUGAGUAACACGUAUCCAACCUGCCGUCUACUCUUGGACAGCCUUCUGAAAGGAAGAUUAAUACAAGAUGGCAUCAUGAGUCCACAUGUUCACAUGAUUAAAGGUAUUCCGGUAGACGAUGGGGAUGCGUUCCAUUAGAUAGUAGGCGGGGUAACGGCCCACCUAGUCUUCGAUGGAUAGGGGUUCUGAGAGGAAGGUCCCCCACAUUGGAACUGAGACACGGUCCAAACUCCUACGGGAGGCAGCAGUGAGGAAUAUUGGUCAAUGGGCGAGAGCCUGGACCAGCCAAGUAGCGUGAAGGAUGACUGCCCUAUGGGUUGUAAACUUCUUUUAUAAAGGAAUAAAGUCGGGUAUGCAUACCCGUUUGCAUGUACUUUAUGAAUAAGGAUCGGCUAACUCCGUGCCAGCAGCCGCGGUAAUACGGAGGAUCCGAGCGUUAUCCGGAUUUAUUGGGUUUAAAGGGAGCGUAGAUGGAUGUUUAAGUCAGUUGUGAAAGUUUGCGGCUCAACCGUAAAAUUGCAGUUGAUACUGGAUAUCUUGAGUGCAGUUGAGGCAGGCGGAAUUCGUGGUGUAGCGGUGAAAUGCUUAGAUAUCACGAAGAACUCCGAUUGCGAAGGCAGCCUGCUAAGCUGCAACUGACAUUGAGGCUCGAAAGUGUGGGUAUCAAACAGGAUUAGAUACCCUGGUAGUCCACACGGUAAACGAUGAAUACUCGCUGUUUGCGAUAUACGGCAAGCGGCCAAGCGAAAGCGUUAAGUAUUCCACCUGGGGAGUACGCCGGCAACGGUGAAACUCAAAGGAAUUGACGGGGGCCCGUACAAGCGGAGGGACAUGUGGUUUAAUUCGAUGAUACGCGAGGAACCUUACCCGGGCUUAAAUUGCAGAUGAAUUACGGUGAAAGCCGUAAGCCGCAAGGCAUCUGUGAAGGUGCUGCAUGGUUGUCGUCAGCUCGUGCCGUGAGGUGUCGGCUUAAGUGCCAUAACGAGCGCAACCCUUGUUGUCAGUUACUAACAGGUUCCGCUGAGGACUCUGACAAGACUGCCAUCGUAAGAUGUGAGGAAGGUGGGGAUGACGUCAAAUCAGCACGGCCCUUACGUCCGGGGCUACACACGUGUUACAAUGGGGGGUACAGAGGGCCGCUACCACGCGAGUGGAUGCCAAUCCCCAAAACCUCUCUCAGUUCGGACUGGAGUCUGCAACCCGACUCCACGAAGCUGGAUUCGCUAGUAAUCGCGCAUCAGCCACGGCGCGGUGAAUACGUUCCCGGGCCUUGUACACACCGCCCGUCAAGCCAUGGGAGCCGGGGGUACCUGAAGUGCGUAACCGCGAGGAGCGCCCUAGGGUAAAACUGGUGAC